UAAUAAUAAUGAUAAUCAUGAUGAUGAUGAUGAUGAUGAUGAUGAUCAUCAUCAUCAUCAUCAUACAUGACUUCAUGUG
rnacentral:pre_miRNA from 1 species